AUUGUAUGUACAAAUGCAUGUGGAAAAGAUUGCUACUUUGUGCUAUGAAAAUGAUAGAAAAAAUGAAAGAUAUAAAAUUAUUUGUUUCUAGGUUAAAAUGUUAGCCAAUCAAUGGGAAAGGUGAGAGGUCAGGGGAGGAGGCAAAUCCUGCGUAUGGAAAAGUCACGCUCUCUUUCGGCUGCAGGCGAGACACGGAGAAGAUCACACUGGAGAACUGUAAAGUGAUUAAUGCUACUUUUCUUGCUUAAGUAAUACUUAAUGGUUGUAAGACCGAUAACCUAUUCACUACUUUGCAUGCGGAAGAAGUCGGUAUCACAUAGAGACAUUUUCAAAACGAAUUUGUCAGAAUAGCUCAGCUAAUAGUAUUGCCUGAAAAGUUAUCAACUCGGUAGCUGGGACUGUGUUAGGCUAACUGGCUUGGUCAACCAAUGAGUUGCCUCUGAGGAACAAGACUGCGAGACUAACCGGAAGAAGACAGCUUGCUGUUUGAACUGAUACGCGAACUACAGCAUCGCGUGAGCAACUGCAUACACCGAGAGCGCCUGAGCAGGGCUGCAGUGACGGUGCAUGGACCCUCUCUGGGCACGGACAUCCCCAUCAACCUCAAUGAGCGCAAUCAGACCCCUUGAGGGCUGCUGCAGUAUGCUUCACUCCCAUGCACUGCCUCCCCCCUCUGGCUCCUCAGUUGAGGUGGGUUGACUAUCCAUGCCAGAAGGAGAAGUCGCUUCAUGAGUUCUAAAACCCGGAAGCAGAGAGUCGGAUACAGAGGAAAGAGCAAGAGAAAGAACAGUGCUCCUGUCCGAUUCCCUCUCCAGAUCCAUACAGGACCCCAGGAUCUGAGCCAGCCGCUGUCAAGGUUCAGCUGAAGUGAGAGAGCUGGCCUAUAAAAGGGAAACUGAAAGGGAACUAGGUUAUAUUUCACCAAAACAAUUGACUUUUUUUAUUUA
ensembl:lncRNA